rnacentral:rRNA from 1 species
CCUACGGGGGGCAGCAGUGGGGAAUAUUGCACAAUGGGCGCAAGCCUGAUGCAGCCAUGCCGCGUGUGUGAAGAAGGCCUUCGGGUUGUAAAGCACUUUCAGCGGGGAGGAAGGCGGUGAGGUUAAUAACCUCAUCGAUUGACGUUACCCGCAGGAGAAGCACCGGCUAACUCCGUGCCAGCAGCCGCGGUAAUACGGAGGGUGCAAGCGUUAAUCGGAAUUACUGGGCGUAAAGCGCACGCAGGCGGUCUGUCAAGUCGGAUGUGAAAUCCCCGGGCUCAACCUGGGAACUGCAUUCGAAACUGGCAGGCUAGAGUCCUGUAGAGGGGGGUAGAAUUCCAGGUGUAGCGGUGAAAUGCGUAGAGAUCUGGAGGAAUACCGGUGGCGAAGGCGGCCCCCUGGACAAAGACUGACGCUCAGGUGCGAAAGCGUGGGGAGCAUACAGGAUUAGAUACCCGAGUAGUC